rnacentral:rRNA from 1 species
UACGAAGGGUGCAACCGUUGCUCGGAAUUAUUGGGCCUAAAGCAUCCGUAGCCGGUCCUACAAGUCUUCCGUUAAAUCCACCUGCUUAACAGAUGGGCUGCGGAAGAUACUAUAGGGCUAGGAGGCGGGAGAGGCAAGCGGUACUCAGUGGGUAGGGGUAAAAUCCUCUGAUCCACUGAAGACCACCAGUGGCGAAGGCGGCUUGCCAGAACGCGCUCGACGGUGAGGGAUGAAAGCUGGGGGAGCAAACCGG